rnacentral:hammerhead_ribozyme from 1 species
AUCCAACUGACGAGUCCCAAAUAUGACGAAACUCGAGUCUUGAAU